rnacentral:rRNA from 1 species
CCUACGGGUGGCAGCAGUGGGGAAUAUUGCUCAAUGGGGGGAACCCUGAUGCAGCGACGCCGCGUGAGUGAAGAAGUCUUUCGGUAUGUAAAGCUCUAUUAGCCGGGAAGAAAAUGACGGUACCUGACUAAGAAGACCCGGCCAACUACGUGCCAGCAGCCGCGGUACUACGUAGGGGGCAAGCGUUAUCCGGAUUUACUGGGUGUAAAGGGAGCGUAGGCGGUUAUGCAAGUCUGAAGUGAAAGCCCAAGGCUCAACCGUUGGACUGCUUUGGAAACUGUAAAACUGGAGUGCAGGCGAGGUAGGAGGAAUGCGGGGUGUAGCGGUGAAAUGCGUAGAUAUUAGGAAGAACACCAGUUGCGAAGGCAGCUUACUGGACUGUAACUGACGUUGAGGCACGAAAGCGUGGGGAGCAAACAGGAUUAGAUACCCGAGUAGUC